UUAUUAUCACCUGCCAUGGUUGUAUCACAUCAGUACUUUGUCUUUUUUGUAUUUCAGAGCAUAGGAAAGGGUUCUCUCUGGUCUAUUGAUCCUGACUACAGACACAAUCUGAUCCAGGCGCUGAAGAAGACUCCAUAUCAUCCGUAUUCCCCUCGGCUUCCAAAACCUUCUACCUCCCCGUCUGCCUCUCCUCAGCAAUACCACAGUCCUCCACUAUGGCCAGGAAGUCCACUCUUCAGAAAGAAUGGAGGAGUGCUCUUACAAGUUCCACAGAGAGUGAUACAGCACAGCUCACGUGUGGCCGCUCAGGGGCUCUUUCCGGUUAUCAGACCCCUUCCUCUGAGUCCCGUGAGCAAGAGGACCACAGCCGUGAGAUCCGCCCUGGGCGACUAUCUGACCCGGGGUAAGAACAGCCUGCGCAGUGACUCUCCUCCACCCAGCGAUGAUCAGCAGGAGGACCACACAUACAGCAGCUCGCAGUCCCUAAACGCGAAGGGGGACGUUUCUUCCUCCCUCUCCUCCUGCUCCACUCAGGGUUCCCUCUCUGCCUACAGCCCCGGCCAGGAGGUGACGCUCACUGAGGUCAAGGAGGAGCAGAAAGACUUUCCGCUGGACGCCACGCCACCUCCUUCCCAGCUGCUCCAGCGCAGAAGACUGCUGUGGACCAAAGGUCACCUACGGACCCCCGGCGACAUGCUUCCCCUGAAGAAGAGACGGGCCGAAAAGCUGCUGGUCAAAGAGGAGGAAGACGAGGAGAUGAAGGAGGCGGCGGGGUCGUUGCUUCACCUGGCCGGCGUGCGCACCGGCGUCAAUAAAAACGCUCUGCGUACGUGUAAGAAGGAGCCGAAAGAGGAAGCCAAUGAUUAGCAAUGAACGAAAAAAAAAAUCCCGUUCACACAGAUCUAAAUACUUCUGUUCCAGGAUAUCAGACGAGACGACUUUUUCCACCGGUGAAGGCAACAUUAUGGAUAGAGGCUUUUCUGAAAAGAACAGACAUGCAGAUUUUCACUUUACAAGACCGACUGGGCUCAUGUUUUGGAUGAUUAUGUAUCAGCUGUUAAGACGCUCGUUCCGACGGCACCCAUUCACUUCAGAGGAUCCGUUAGUGAGCAAGUGACGAAAUGCUACAUUUUUCCAAAUCUUUUCGGAUGAAACUCAUUUAUAUCUUGGAUAGCCUAAGGGUGAGUAAAUUGUCAGUGAAUCGUCUUUUUUUUUGGUGAACUGUUGCUUUAAUGCUGUCUUGAAAGCUGCUAGCGGACAUCUGUCGGCAUCGUACAUAUUAUUGUCUACGCAGCAUCCAUCACGACGUUUACACUCCGCUUCCGCUUCAUGUGCGAGUCGCUUUCUGAAUGUUUUCUUCAAACAUUUUGAAACAGUUCAGCUCGAUUCUUCAGCACUUUUUAAUAGGAAGGUUUGUCCUCGGCAGGGGGUGUAGCGAUGGAGCGGCCCUGUAAGUGCGAGGACGACGUCAAAGAAGACGGCCCUGCUUUAUUUGAUCCGCAUAUAGGCAAUAAGCUGCUGCUAUGCUGUUUCGCUUUCAAUUCAUUCCGGGUCCCAUAAUAUGCCAUUUUGUUUUGUGUACCAAAAACGGCUGAUUUUUAAUUGCUAAGAUUCGUACAGAUCCAUGUAAGACAAAAGGGGGAGAACAAUAUGCAUGAAUUAUUUAUUGGAAAACUCUCACUGCCUCUGAAAUUAUGUGUGAAAUAAUAUAAGGGUUUUGUCGAUGUUGUUGAUGUUGUUUGUUUCUGCCAAAUAUUGUUUUCGUCCUUGUACUAAGUCACUAGUGGUCUGGUAUGAUUUUUUUAGAGCACAAUGGAAUCACGAUGACUAUGUAUUUGACCAGGUCUAUUUUCAAUACACUCAGAUGCCAAUGCUGUACGAGUAUAAAGCUGUCUAUUUCCUUGGUGUGCAAUCAUAUUGCCAAAGAACAAGAUCAAACUAUUUCAUCAAUACAUGUAAAUAACCACAUUGUCUAUAUGACAAUAAAUGUCACAUCAUGUUGUUACUUUUCCACAUAUUUCUCCUGAAACUAAAAAUAAUGUUUAUGUAAUGUAUUGUCUUCCAGUUGCAAUAAUAAAAAUAUCAGAGUUUUAAA